UUUUUAUGGAGAGUUUGAUCCUGGCUCAGAGUGAACGCUGGCGGCGUGCCUAAUACAUGCAAGUCGAACGAUGAAGCUUUUAGCUUGCUAGAAGUGGAUUAGUGGCGCACGGGUGAGUAAUGCAUAGGUUAUGUGCCCUUUAGUCUGGGAUAGCCACUGGAAACGGUGAUUAAU
rnacentral:rRNA from 1 species